CGGAGGAGCGCCGGGAGACUCUGCCGUCGGUGCGUGCGCGGACCCGCACCCGUCCCCCUUGACCCCGCCGCCCGCCAUGGCCGCCGCGGCGGCCGCCCCCCGCAGCCUCCUUGUUCUCCUCCAGGUGCUAGUGCUCGCUCUGGCGCAGAUCAGAGGUCCACCGGGAGAGCGGGGCCCCCCGGGGCCCCCGGGACCGCCGGGAGUGCCUGGAUCCGACGGCGUCGACGUAAGUCUCUAACCUGGGACCAGGGCGGGAGGGAGGCAGCGGACAAAGGAGAACUUUGUGAGCGCUGUGGUGGGGGUGGGGACUGGGGUGCCCCUCGUCGCCAGUAGGCGGCGCCGGCCCGCACCACAAGGACGCCGUUUGUUCUGCAAAAACCUCAAACCAGCCCUGACAUGCGGAGCC
rnacentral:sRNA from 1 species